CCUACGGGAGGCUGCAGUGGGGAAUAUUGGACAAUGGGGGCAACCCUGAUCCAGCCAUGCCGCGUGUGUGAAGAAGGCCCGCGGGUUGUAAAGCACUUUCAGUGAGGAAGAACGCCUGGUGGUUAAUACCCAUCAGGAAAGACAUCACUCACAGAAGAAGCACCGGCUAACUCCGUGCCAGCAGCCGCGGUAAUACGGAGGGUGCGAGCGUUAAUCGGAAUUACUGGGCGUAAAGCGCGCGUAGGUGGCUUGAUAAGCCGGUUGUGAAAGCCCCGGGCUCAACCUGGGAACGGCAUCCGGAACUGUCAAGCUAGAGUGCAGGAGAGGAAGGUAGAAUUCCCGGUGUAGCGGUGAAAUGCGUAGAGAUCGGGAGGAAUACCAGUGGCGAAGGCGGCCUUCUGGACUGACACUGACACUGAGGUGCGAAAGCGUGGGUAGCAAACAGGAUUAGAAUACCCUUGUAGUC
rnacentral:rRNA from 1 species